rnacentral:rRNA from 1 species
AACGAACGCUGGCGGCAUGCCUAACACAUGCAAGUCGAACGAGACCUUCGGGUCUAGUGGCGCACGGGUGCGUAACGCGUGGGAAUCUGCCCUUGGGUUCGGAAUAACAGUUAGAAAUGACUGCUAAUACCGGAUGAUGACUUCGUUCCAAAGAUUUAUCGCCCAGGGAUGAGCCCGCGUAGGAUUAGCUUGUUGGUGAGGUAAAAGCUCACCAAGGCGACGAUCCUUAGCUGGUCUGAGAGGAUGAUCAGCCACACUGGGACUGAGACACGGCCCAGACUCCUACGGGAGGCAGCAGUGGGGAAUAUUGGACAAUGGGCGAAAGCCUGAUCCAGCAAUGCCGCGUGAGUGAUGAAGGCCUUAGGGUUGUAAAGCUCUUUUACCCGGGAUGAUAAUGACAGUACCGGGAGAAUAAGCCCCGGCUAACUCCGUGCCAGCCGCCGCGGUAAAAC